rnacentral:lncRNA from 1 species
AUGGAUUGGAGAGAGAGGAAGGGUGAGAAUUUCUCGCACACUCUCUCCUAGAGCUUGGCAGUGCUUGUCUGUCCGUGGAUGUCAGAGCUCUAGGUCUUCCACCUUUGUACUCUAGGACUCAUACCAGCAGUUCCUAGGCUCUCCAGCCUUCAGCCUUGGACUGAGAAUGUUACCACCAGCUUCCCUGAUUCCCAGGCCUUCGGACUUGGUCUGAACCACACUACCGGCUUUCUUGGUUCUUCAGCUUCCAGAUGGCCUAUUGUGGGAUUUCUCAGCCUCUGUAAUUGUAGUCUUCAGGUUUUUCCAUAUAUAACAUCAUAUCAUCUGCAAACAAGGACAAUCUGACUUCUUCCUUUAUGAACUUUGGAGAAGUUUCCUGUCUGUAAAAAGGAGUCUCCCAUCAGCCUUUGCAGGGAAUUUUUACAGGUCAGCUGCUGCUCCUGGAAGCCAGCAGGUCUUCCUCCAUCAUACAAAAGACAAAUACAUGCAAAGCAGUUUCUAACAGAACCAGAAAUAACCUGCUGUAGAGGAAUUCGAAUACAUCACCGGACACAUGCGCUUUUUCAUAGAUACCCUGCAGAAGCUUUUACUCAGGAAGCUUUCCUGUAGUGUGGCAGGGACCUAGGGAUGUAAGCAGAGAACUGCGAC